rnacentral:lncRNA from 1 species
CACAGCUCUUUGAAUCUCAGUGGCUGCUGUUUUAUUUUCCCUGCCAUAUGCAGCCAGAGACUCAGCAGGAUGGCAACAAAUUGACUGCUGGUUGCAAUUAGAUAAACCCAGUGAGGUGGCAUCUCCAUUAGCAGGUGACCUCUCUAGCUACUAACUUUGCUUUAAACAUCUCAGCAGAAAGUGUGACACCUGCCACGAUCUUAUCAGGACUCAGAGAGGAGUUGUGGAGAUGUACAGCUCAAGCACCAAAGAGAUAAGAAGCCAAGGCAAGGACAGGAAAAGACAGAAAUGUCUGAGUUAUUUUGCCUUCAAACCUCAAGAUUUACAUCCAGAUUUCUGCUGUUCCCAUUUGAAGGCAGUGUCUAAAAUGAAGCAUGUGAGAUGUAGAACAGCAACUUUCAGGUUGUUAUCUAUUGACAAGGAUUAAGAGGGAUGCUUCACCUUAGAGACCCAGAUAUGCUUAGCAGAUAUGCAUGGAUGGGCUCUGAUAAGCAGGCAGUGACAAACCUGGGAUUUCUCUGUGGUAUGAUGGCAUCACCACUGUUCAGGGUGGGAGGAUCCUACCAGCCCUGCUCUGCUCAGCCUGCUCUGCUGUAAAGAUCUGAUGCAAUCAGAAUAAUGCAAGACAGCCUUUGCAGCAGAUCCAAGGCAGAAUGCUGUUGGCUCACAUUUUGGACAAAAAGCAUACAAAGCACAGUAAUGUAGCAGAGUGAUGCUUCUAGAACUGGCCAAGGGUGUCAUUGCUCAGAGAUAUUGAAGGAAAGGGAAUUUUGCUGUACUUUAUGGAUUGGUAUAAACCUAACCCCAGGGUCCUGUCAGCGUUGCCUCCCAUGGCUGGGAAAGGGGCUGCAGAGUGCAAAACCUCUACUCUGGUGGUCCCCAUGCCUAAAGCAUCGCCCACAGCUAAAGACCCAAAUCCCAGGGACCUUCCUCAAGGAAAACUCUGACAUGCUGUAGUUGUAGUGGCCAUGAAAGCUGGCAAUGACUCCUUAUUGUUAAAUGCUUUGGGACACCUCAAAUAUGAAUGGAGCUAUAUAAAAUUCAAUUCUAUUGUAAAGAAAACAGCUGUCAUGAAUUAAGGCUGCGUUCAGCUUUUGAGAUGUGGACAACUGUCCAGUAGGGAAUGAACAGAAAACUCAUUUAACUCUGAGAUGGAGAUUUGUCUUCUCUUUUCCAGAAAACAAAACCCCAAGGAUUUUAAAUCUAUAAACCAUGUAUAGCAUAUCACCCAAACAAUUUCUUUUAAGGCUGGAAAAACCCCUUGCUGCUAAUUAUUGGUUAUAGAUGGUUUGAAAGAAAAAUGUAGUUCUAAUGCUGGGUUUAAUUAAAAUGCCUUUAAUAACAGUCAUGAUUUUUGCAGCAAAAGUGCUAAAAGGCCAAAUCC